rnacentral:rRNA from 1 species
UACGUAGGGUGCAAGCGUUGUCCGGAAUUAUUGGGCGUAAAGAGCUCGUAGGCGGUCUGUUGCGUCGGCUGUGAAAGCCCGGGGCUCAACUCCGGGCCUGCAGCCGAUACGGGCAGACUAGAGUUCGGCAGGGGAGACUGGAAUUCCUGGUGUAGCGGUGAAAUGCGCAGAUAUCAGGAGGAACACCGGUGGCGAAGGCGGGUCUCUGGGCCGAUACUGACGCUGAGGAGCGAAAGCGUGGGGAGCAAACAGG